rnacentral:rRNA from 1 species
UACGAAGGGGGGCUAGCGUUGUUCGGAAUUACUGGGCGUAAAGCGCACGUAGGCGGAUCGAUCAGUCAGGGGUGAAAUCCCAGAGCUCAACUCUGGAACUGCCUUUGAUACUGUCGGUCUAGAGUAUGGAAGAGGUGAGUGGAACUCCGAGUGUAGAGGUGAAAUUCGUAGAUAUUCGGAAGGAACACCAGUGGCGAAGGCGGCUCACUGGCCCGGUACUGACGCUCAUGUGCGAAAGCGUGGGGGAGCAAACAGG